rnacentral:rRNA from 1 species
GACGAACGCUGGCGGCGUGCCUAACACAUGCAAGUCGUACGAGAAAGUCUGGUUCGCCAGAUGAGUAAAGUGGCGCACGGGUGAGUAACGCGUGGAUAAUCUGCCCUUCAGCGGGGAAUAACCCAUCGAAAGGUGGGCUAAUACCCCAUGACGCUAUUUCGGCCACGGCUGGAUAGCCAAAGGCGGCCUCUGUUUACAAGCUGUCACUGAAGGAUGAGUCCGCGUACCAUUAGCUAGUUGGUAGGGUAAUGGCCUACCAAGGCUGCGAUGGUUAGCUGGUCUGAGAGGAUGAUCAGCCACACUGGAACUGAGACACGGUCCAGACUCCUACGGGAGGCAGCAGUGAGGAAUCUUGCGCAAUGGGGGCAACCCUGACGCAGCAACGCCGCGUGAGUGAGGAAGGUCUUCGGAUCGUAAAGCUCUGUCGGGCGGGAAGAAACGUAUGGAAGCUAAUACCAUUCAUACUUGACGGUACCGCCAAAGGAAGCACCGGCUAACUCCGUGCCAGCAGCCGCCGUAAAAC